rnacentral:lncRNA from 1 species
GACCCGUUCCUUACACAAUGAUACUUAGAGAAACACCAAACCAAUAAAUUAUCACUUAAUAAUUACUUGUGAAAUACAGGUACGGAGAGAUGAGGAGAGGAAGACCCCCACUAAACCGAACAGCCCGAGAUGGUUCACUUAGGGAAAAUGUUGACCAGAUAUUUGAGAUGCUAGAGAGACUCAUUGCUGCCCAACAGGGUUGAGAGGAGAGGAGGGAGCUACCUGACCCUCCUCCGUUGCCACAGGUUGAACCACUAUUGUAGCAAGAGGAUCCCGAGCCAUCCCGGUAUGACCCUGCUCCUCCACAGUACCACCCGGCAUCACUACAGUAUGAUCCAGUGCCUCAGCCAUAGUACCACUCG